rnacentral:rRNA from 1 species
GUGUCAGCAGCCGCGGUAAGACAGAGGUGGCAAGCGUUGUCCGGAUUUACUGGGCGUAAAGGGCGUGUAGGCGGUUCCACAAGUCGGCCGUGAAAAGCGUCGGCUCAACCGAAGCAGGGCGACCGAGACUGUGGGGCUUAGAGUGCGGGAGAGGGAAGUGGAAUUCCCGGUGUAGCAGUGAAAUGCGUAGAUAUCGGGAAGAACACCAAUGGCGAAAGCGACUUCCUGGCCCGCUACUGACGCUGAGGCGCGAAAGCCAGGGGAGCGAACGGGAUUAGAAACCCUCGUAGUCC